rnacentral:rRNA from 1 species
CUACGGGGGGCAGCAGUGGGGAAUAUUGGACAAUGGGGGAAACCCUGAUCCAGCAAUGCCGCGUGUGUGACGAAGGCCUGCGGGUUGUAAAGCACUUUCGGUUGGGAGGACUGCUUCUAGCACUAAUAUUGUUGGAAGUUGACGUUACCUUCAGAAGAAGCACCGGCUAACUCCGUGCCAGCAGCCGCGGUAAUACGGGAGGGUGCAAGCGUUAAUCGGAAUUACUGGGCGUAAAGCGCGCGUAGGCGGCUAGAUCAGUCGGGUGUGAAAGCCCCGGGCUUAACCUGGGAACUGCAUCCGAUACUGUCGAGCUUGAGUACAGGAGAGGAGAGUGGAAUUCCACAUGUAGCGGUGAAAUGCGUAGAUAUGUGGAGGAACACCAAUGGCGAAGGCAGCUCUCUGGCCUGAUACUGACGCUGAGGUGCGAAAGCGUGGGGAGCAAACAGGAUUAGAUACCCCUGUAGUC